rnacentral:lncRNA from 1 species
ACAUUCCCCCGGCUGAAAUCAAGUGUCGGAUAAGCAUAUCCGAUGAAGCGGAACGCGGCCUUCGUCGAAGUAGAUCGAGCGGAGUCAUUCCAUUCGCAUCACUGGUGUUCACGUUAAUUGAUGGUGCAGACAUAAGGAGUUGCACCAGGUCAGUGUGGACAUUCCCAAUGAUAGCCAAGUGAAGUGCAGUCCUUCCAUCAUUGUUUUUAGCAUUAACAAUGUCUUCCAUGUUGAACUUCUUUUCGUGUACCAGUCGCUUCAUAAGAUUGAUCUGUAGGUCAACUCUUCUAAAAGUUGGGGUCUGAAAACCAGACACUGCGAAAUGGAGAAAUGUUUCCCCGGCAUUGUUUCUUACGGAGAUCAACGAGGGAGACACAUGAAUCAAAGCCUCAACAACGGCUGCUUGGCCCCUGUAAGCAGCGAUAUGCAACGCGGUGUUGCCUUGAUCAUCUACGGAGGCGACGAUAUCGAAAGAUGAAACAAGCUUUUCAACCACCUAUAAAAUGAAACAAUGCUUGCAUUAGUCAAGGUAAUGAAACUUAACCACUAACAUAAACAUAGAAUACUUGAGCCUAACCUCGACUUGGCCUCGGCCAGCGGCAGCAUGUAAUACGGUCGAACCACGCUUAUCUCUAUAAGCCAAUACAUCUUUGUAGUAGCCAUGAAGAAGCUCCAUUAAAAUCUUUAAAUUUCCUCCUCUAGCAGCAGCAUGAACAGCUUUGUUUGUGAUCUCCCACUUAUAAACAGAAGGUAUUUCCCCGAUGUGCUCUUUGAACCCUUCUGCAUUUGCUGUCAUAAACCUCGGUGAGACUGCAAAGUCGUAUAUAAGCGUGAAAACCUCAGAGUUUUUGCCC